rnacentral:rRNA from 1 species
AUUUUGAUCUGAAAUCAGGUAGGAUUACCCGCUGAACUUAAGCAUAUCAAUAAGCGGAGGAAAAGAAACUAACAAGGAUUCCCUCAGUAACGGCGAGUGAAGCGGGAAGAGCUCAAAUUUAAAAUCUGGUUUACUUGUAAAUCCGAGUUGUAGUCUGAAGAAACGUUUUCCAUAAGCACUGAGGCAAAAGUCCCUUGGAACAGGGCAUCAUAGAGGGUGAGAAUCCCGUCCAUGGUCUCAAGUUGUUUAUUUUGUGAUACGUUUUCAAAGAGUCAGGUUGUUUGGGAAUGCAGCCUAAAAUGGGUGGUAAAUUUCAUCUAAAGCUAAAUAUUGGCGAGAGACCGAUAGCGAACAAGUACCGUGAGGGAAAGAUGAAAAGAACUUUGAAAAGAGAGUUAAACAGUACGUGAAAUUGUUGAAAGGGAACCGUUUGAAGCCAGUCUUACUUGCUCGUGAUCAAUUUUUGCUUCGGCAUGAAUGCACUCUCGGGUAUGGUAGGCCAACGACAGUUUAGAAUGCGAGAAAAAAAUAGGGGAAAUGUGGCCUUCGGGUGUUAUAGUCCCUUAUAAAAUAUCGUGUUCUGGACUGAGGAUCGCAGCAAAAAUGUGGGCAGGUGGAUUUCUGUGGUAACUGUCGGUUAGGACAACUUGUUGACCUAGUCUUCCUUAGCCUCACUAUUUACCUUGCUUCUAAUUUGCUUAGGUCGUUGGCAUAAUGGCUUUAAAUGACCCGUCUUGAAACACGGACCAAGGAGUCUAACAUAUAUGCGAGUAUUUGGGUGGCAAACCCAUAUGCGCAAUGAAAGUGAAACUAGGUGCCAAACCUUCACGGGUGGCAGCAUCGGCCGGCUUUGACGUUUUAACUGACGAGUCUGAGCAGAAGCAUACAUGUUGGGACCCGAAAGAUGGUGAACUAUGCCUGAAUAGGGUGAAGCCAGAGGAAACUCUGGUGGAGGCUCGUAGCGAUUCUGACGUGCAAAUCGAUCGUC